rnacentral:rRNA from 1 species
GACGGACGCUGGCGGCGCGCCUAAUACAUGCAAGUCGAACGUGAAGCGGGGCUUCGGCCCCGUGGAAAGUGGCGAACGGGUGCGUAACACGUGACCAACCUGCCCCGGAGACCGGGAUAACCAGGGGAAACCCUGGCUAAUACCGGAUGUCCUCAGCGGAUCGCAUGGUCUGGGGAGGAAAUGGGUUCCGCCCCGGGAUGGGCUCGCGGCCUAUCAGCUUGUUGGGGGGGUAACGGCCUACCAAGGGGACGACGGGUAGCUGGUCUGAGAGGGCGAUCAGCCACACUGGGACUGAGACACGGCCCAGACUCCUACGGGAGGCAGCAGUAGGGAAUCUUGCGCAAUGGGGGAAACCCUGACGCAGCGACGCCGCGUGCGGGAUGAAGGCCUUCGGGUUGUAAACCGCUUUCAGCAGGGACGAAAUUGACGGUACCUGCAGAAGAAGGCCCGGCCAACUACGUGCCAGCAGCCGCGGUAAAAC